rnacentral:lncRNA from 1 species
UUGUCUUCUCUGCCGCAGUGCUUCUCGGCCCUCUCCUGUGAACUUUCAAUUUCAACUGUAGCAUCUGAAUGUUUCAUUUUUGCUUCUAUGGGGGAUUUUGUAGGUGAAGCAAAAGUUUGAUGCUCUUGAUGGUAGAAUUGUGAACCUUGAGCAUUCUUUGUCACCAGACCCGAAUCAUCAUCCCGCUCAGGUAUUAAUAUUUAUUUACUUUUAAUUUCGUUGUUUUAAUCUAAUGAAUUGUAUUUGUGAUUUGGUUGAAUUUCUGAUAGUUUUAUACAUUAGCCUCCGACCCCUUCAUCCCAAUUAUUUUCAGAAAUGAUUAUUACCCAAUACCCAUCUCAACAAUUUCAAUCUCAAUCUUUUAGCUAUAGUUCCAAAUCCCAACAUUCAGAGGCUAUUUUUCUCUGCAAUAAAUUUCUUCAAAAUUCCAUAAACUAGUCAAAUAGGUUGCCUAUGUGGUCUAUGUUGUUUACUAGUUUUGUGUGAGUGUGAUUGUGUGACCUUCGGUUAGGCCAAAACUGCAUCUGCAUUACGAGGUAAAUCCAGUUGAGUCCAUUUUGUGCGUAGCGUAACCACUGCACCAAUCCAUUGUGAUUUACAUUUCAACUGUUGCAUCAGAAUCUGCAUUUAAUAUUGGGAGUAGAGUACUAGAUCAAUAUUGUAGUUCAUUGUUACCAGAAACAGUUCAAGCUUUAUUGUUCACACGAGAUUGACUAAUUGGAAAAUGAGGUAAUAUAUUUUUAAAUGGUAUAAUACUAUUGUUUUAUUUAUUUUCAUAAUUAUUUUGGUAAACUUCUCAUAAUUUGAAUGGUUUUUAAUGUUUGGUUUUUCUAUACUUAGUUUAUGCGGAAGAGAAUUCUGACGUGGAAAACCUUACUGAAAACAUCAUCAACAUAACUCUUGAAGGCAAUAGAUCAAGCCAAAGUUCCAAUACAAUUUCCUCAUGAUAAUCGAUGAAAAUUGAGGAUUUUGUAAAAGAAAUAACAUGUAAACUUUGAGUUCCAUUGGCAAGGUUUAAACUUUUGAGAAAGGCUUCCCAAACCUUGAAAACAAAAACUCUUUCAUUUUGCAUAUCCUUCCACAUUUAAUAUUUUGUAAUAGACUAGUGUAUGGAUGUUUUUUUUUUUUAGGCUCUUAUUUUUGAGUGUAGAUGUAGUACUUAAAUGACAAAUAUGUUUUAACGUUUUGAAGUAAUAUUUAUG